GCGGGCGUGGCGGAAUCGGUAGACGCAAGGGACUUAAAAUCCCUCACCUCUCGGUAUGCGGGUUCGAGUCCCGCCGCCCGCACCA
rnacentral:tRNA from 1 species